UUGGCGGCUGCUGAGAACUAGUGUUAGAAGGGGAUGGAAAAGUCGUGGAAAAAUUAGGUUGGUUUUAUUUUUAUAUUGUUAUUUAUAGUGAAUUGAUGGAAAUGGCCUUAUUUGAAGCAUGUGACUUGAUUUAACGGAAAUUUUUAAAGGAGUAGGACGUAGGUGGUAAAUAUUUCAACACUUUAAAUAGUUCAAGUGGUUACUAGAAAAAAUUAAAAAUUCAUGUCAUAAUCCCGCACGUACCUAAAAGUUUGGAUAAUAUUUAUGUAAAUUCCCCUUUAAGGUAAAUAGAGAUAGCUUGUAAAAGCUUCCACUCGUAACAAAUAAGUCCGGACCCAAAUUGUUCUCAAAUGUUUUUACCUAAGUUUGUCUCUUAGCUUAGGGGAUAUAUAUAAACGACUUAAAAGAGUUAGUAUUGAAAAGAUAUUUUCAUGCUUUCUCGAUAAGUCUCAACAGUCGUGCCAAAAAUUAAUUAAGAGUUAGGCGAGAGAUGGAUUUCUUGUGUUGCAUGCAAAUGUGUCUUAUGGUUGCCUGGAUUUCUUGUGGGGGAGCUGGGAGGAGAAGGGGAUGGAGAGAAAGAGAGGGAGGUUUUUUUUUUUUUUUAAUAAGGAUUUUUUAAAUGUUAUUUUAUUAUAUUAUAUAAUUAAUUUAUCAUUUUUUUUAAAGAAACAGUGGAUCCUAUAGUGGACAUGUCAUCAGUUAAACCAAACGGUCAACUUAAAAGAAUGUCUAAAUUGGUCAAAUUUGAAAACCAUCGAAUAUAAAUUGAUGAAAUUGAAACUCGAGAGUCUAUAUUGAGAAUGACCCUAAAUUUUCAGGAAGUCUUUUGACGUUAAUCCUAAGGCCACCUCCACCGCAGCCCAUUUUGCCAGGGCAAGAGGCCCAUAUUCUGGGGUUUGGACCUCCAAUGCACGCGAAGCAGCCCGGGCAAGCCCAAGGGCAAAUCUUGCCUCGGCUGCAGCCCGAAGGCCCUGACGUCAGCGAGCAAAAAAAAUUCAAAAAAACUGAAAAUAAUUCGAAAAUAAUUCAAAUUUUUUUUUAAAAAAAAAAAAUCAAAAAAUUAUGGAUGUUUUCCCUAUAAAUACAUAACAAUUUUAUUCACUUUCCACACCAAAUCCUCAUACAAACUCUUCUCCUUCCAAUAUUUGUAAAUUGUAAUCAUUUUUUUUUCUUGCAUUUGUAAAUUGUUUAUAUUUUCUUCCAUAUUUAUUUUUUUCUUGCAUAAUCAUUUUAUUUCUUGCAUUUCUAAAUUGUUUAUAUUUUGUUGCAUAUUCUUUUUUUUUUUCUUGCCCUUGCCCUACCCUUUUGGGUUGGAACCAAAAAAGGCAAGGCUGCCACUAUUCACGUGAAUAGUAGCAGCCCUUCCCUUACUUUUACCUUAGCCUUAGCCCUUGCCUUACAUGUGCGCAAGAGUGAAUUUAGCCGAAGACAUGUCAUGUCUUCUGUUCAUAGAAAAACAACAAAGAAACUUUCUUUCCACAAAUGCAUGAAUGUACCGUCUCCCUACAUCACGCAUCUCAAUUUUCAAGAUUGAUUGAUAAUAAGAAUAACUAAGAGCAUUCGUAGUGGGGGGAGUGUAUUUUUGGGAGUGUAAAGCUACUUUUACAUCCCCUUUACACUUUCGGAGGGUGUAAAUAUGUUUUUUGCUCCAAUGGGAUACGAUGUAAACCUAAGAUGUAUAAUUUUUCCUCUAUUUUCUUGGGUGGGUCUCGCCUGCAAAAGAUGUAAAAAUAAAUGCAAAUGUGCAUUUUAUUUUACAUUUCCAUUGUGGUAAUGUAUGUUUACAACCUUUUACAUCUCUCUAUUGAAGAUGAUUCCAGUAACAAGGGAUGUAUAUUUAACAUACAACUCCUUAUACACCCUCCCAUUAUGGAUGCUCUAACAAGGCAUGAACUCCUACUGGGAAAAAAAAAUUCAAUGGGGGUCAAUCAUCAGUUAUUUUGAAUUGUAGCUACCCAUUCUUUGACUGACAUGCAUAUAUAUAUAUAUAUGUAUACUUUUCUUGGUGAGAAAAGUCCCUUGAGUUGACAGGAAAUUGUACUUUUUUUUCUUGUUGCAUUUUUCUUUUCUUGUUCAAGUAGUUUAGGACCAUCCUCUUUCAAAGCAGACAUGUGCAGUUGCAAAAGACCAUUAGCCCUCGUGCAUGUUUAUGGGAAAAAACAAAACCACUAGCCGACUUGGCUAUAAAUUAUUGUAUGUAUGUCAUUUACCUUCUUCUUAUUUUAUUUUAUUACUAUUUUACAUGUGAUGUGCAUCUGUGAAAAUGAUAGCUCCCAAACGCUAGACACUACGAGUGAUAAAUUAUUUUGAUUAUAGAAUUUAAAGUUAAAUGAUUUUAACUCUUUGGAAUUUUUUAGACCAAAACUCGAUUUAUUCGAAUUAUAAUAGUUCAAUUUAACAACUUUUGUGCAAUUAGAAUUAGAGAGAGAAUGGAUUUCUUGAGUUUUUGUAUGGUCCUGCUAAGCCUUUUCUCUGUGUUGUUGUUCUCAAUUAUUCAAGCUCUGCAAAGCAAAGCCAAUUCCAAAGGCAUCUUCUCCCACCUGAAUCAAAGCCAUUUCCCUUUAUUGGCAAUCUUCUAGAGUUUGGCAACAAACCCCAUCUCUCUCUCACGAAGCUUUCUCAAAUCUAUGGCCCCAUUAUAACUCUGUAACUCUGCCAAUAUUUAUAUUGGGGAUUCCCCAUUCCCACAUUCAAUAGGGAAUGGGUUCCCCGUCUUGCCUCAUUACGUACGGAAGAAAAAUCAAUAUAAAAUUACUUUUAAAAAAAAAAAAGGACUAGAGCAAGAUAAUGCGUACAUAUAAUAUAUUAUCUACAUACAAGACAAUAUAAGAAUGUUUACAUAUUGACUGAGAAGUUAACUAAAUAUAUAAGUAGUGUAGCUUAAGAUUUGUAUAAAUUUUAUAAAUAUAUAAUAUAAAACUUAAUCGGCACAAUCACUUUAAUAGCAUAUUUAUAUAGCCCCGAUCUCUUGGACCACAGAGGCUCCAGUGGUUUCUUUCUUUUCUCUGCAAUUCCGUCUUAAUUUUUGUCGUGUGUGAUAAAAUUGACCUUAAAUUGCUUGGUGCUUUCGACCAAAAAAAAAAAAAAAGGUUUAUUCGAUGCACGUUACGUUCUCAACACGUCUUUGUCCCUUGUCCAUAAGUAAUGGGCAAGUUGCAGGCCUCUAGUUCUUUCGAUUGAUGGAGCCUAAUUUUGUACCGACUUGCACAUAAUAAGAAUUUAGAUGGCUUCAUUUUCUUCAAAUCACCCCAGUUGCCUUUCCCAAUAUGUCUUGAUGAGAUUGGACAAAUAACUUUAAUGGACCAAUAUGCGCAACCCAUAUAAAAAACCAUAUCUAUUAUAGGGUGGACUCCUAUCCUAGUGUAUGAUUUUUGUUUUGUAAAAUCACCCCAGUUGCCCUUCAAUAUGAUGGUAGAUUGACCUUGCGAAGGCUAAUAUCUAAAGGAAAAGCAAACAGAGCCAUGCCACUAGAACACAAACUUUUGUUUUGUAAUUUUUUUUAUUAAGUUAUUCGGGGUUGAUUUUUCAAGUACUUACCAUGAAAAAAAAAAUGAAAAAGUAUGAUUUUUUUUUUGUUCAAAAAAAAAAAAACACUUUUGAAUGAAGCCAAUUUGGCCGUCUAAAAAGACUUUGUUUUAGCGGCCAGCUAGCAACUUUCUUUUUGUCCAAACAAGACGCAUAACUAAGUCCAAAUGAUAAGCCUUGUCGGAUUGGGAGGCUCUCCCUCCCUCCUUCAACUUUUAUGUGUGUGUGCGCACGAUUAGAACCACAGAGAGAAUGGAUUUCUGGAGUUUUUGUAUGGUCCUGCUAAGCCUUUUCUCUGUGUUGUUCUCAAUUAUUCAAGCUCUGCGAAGCAAAGCCAAUCCCAAAAGGCAUCUUCUCCCACCUGGACCAAAGCCAUUUCCCUUCAUCGGCAAUCUUUUAGAGCUUGGCAACAAACCCCAUCAAUCUCUCACCAAGCUUUCUCAAAUCUAUGGCCCCAUUAUAACUCUGCAACUAGGCCAAGUAACAACGGUGGUUGUUUCUUCACCAAACACAGCCAAACAAGUCCUCCAAACCCAUGACCAAUUCUUGUCCAACCGAACCGUCCCAGAUGCAAUCCAAGCCUGUGACCUUCGUCAGGACAGCCUGCCAUGGAUACCACCUUCGGCCAAAUGGAGAAGCCUUCGACAAAUAUGCAACUCUCAAUUGUUUGCCGCCAAAAUCCUCGACGCCAACCAACCCAACCGCUGCGUAAAAGUGCAAGAGCUCAUAUCUCAGGUCAACGAAAGUGCGGUCAAUGGUGAGGCGGUAGAUAUUGGAAGGGCCGCUUUCAAAACUACUCUCAAUCUGCUGUCUCGUACUAUUUUCUCAGUGGAUUUAGCUGACCCAAGUAGCGAGAUGGCUAGGGAGUUCAAGGAGACUGUGUGGGGUUUGAUGGAAGGGGCAGGGACCCCAAAUGUGGGGGACUUUUUUCCUGUCCUUCGGAAAAUUGACCCCCAGGGCAUUAGGCGGCGCAUGAUCAAACAUUUCAACAAGAUGGAACAGCUCUUUGACCGCAUGAUUAGCCAAAGAUUGGCAUCAAGAAAAGCCCAUGAUUAUGUCAAAACCAAUGAUAUGUUGGAUACUCUUUUGAACAUCAGUGAAGCGAACAGUGAGGACAUGGACAAGACCAAAAUUCAACAUCUGUUUCUGGUUAGUUGUUUUGUCUUUGCUCAUCAUUAUAGUUAAAUUACUGUAUCAAUUAAUUUAAUUUACAGAGAGAAGGGAUUUGAACUUAAGUUUAAAGAGUGGGCGAACUGGCCUGACCGUCUACUCUCGUUAGGUGUUUUUGUUUUUGGUUUUUAAUCCCAAUUUUUUUUUCUGACUUGUUAUGUUAAAAAGGCUCUAUUUGCCGCGGGCACAGAUACAACUUCAGCCACAUUGGAAUGGGCCAUGGCUGAGCUGCUACGCGACCCUGAAAAGCUAUCAAAAGCUCAACAAGAGCUGGAACAAAUCAUUGGCAAAGGAAAACCAGUAGAAGAAGCAGACAUUGCUCGACUUCCUAACUUACAAGCAAUAAUCAAAGAGACCCUUCGGUUGCACCCAGCAGCUCCAUUGCUUCUCCCUCGCAAAGCCGAUUCAGAUGUUGAAAUCUGCGGGUAUAUUGUACCCAAGGGUGCACAAGUGUUUGUAAAUGCAUGGGCUAUCGGUAGAGACCCCAGCAUUUGGGACAACCCAAGCUCGUUUAUGCCGGAGAGGUUCUUGGGAUUGGAUGACCAAAUUGAUGUUAUAGGCAAAAACUUUGAGCUUAUCCCAUUUGGUGGUGGGAGGAGAAUAUGUCCUGGCUUGCGAUUGGCAAUGCGAAUUCUGCCCUUGAUGUUGGGUUCACUCAUUAACUUUUUUGAUUGGAAGCUUGAAGAUGGGGUUAUACCAGAGACUUUGAACAUGGAAGAGAAAUUUGGCCUCACCUUGCAGAUGGCUCACCCUCUUAGAGCUCUGCCCAAGUCAUUUUGUGAAAUUUAAUGGAGUCUAUAUAUGUCACUUAUCUAAGUUAGUAUUGAAACUUGUUAACAAUCAUGGUUGUAAGUUAUUGUUUCCAUAACAAUACUUCAUAAUGGCUUUUGGGUCUAAUGAUAUUUAGUUUCCACUCCUUUUUAUUAAGCUCUUAUAUCAGAAAGAAUGAAUCUUUUCUCUUAUCUUUUUUAUGCUCUCUUUUCUUCUUCUUCUUCUUAUGAUUCAAUGAAUCUUAAUAUGUGUAAACUUCAAAUCUCAUGCACAUGCGUUUGUUGUAUUAUUAGAUACUAAUAAUUCGCACACAUACUAUGCAUGAGUAGAGAAUAAAUAUCCCUCAUUACAUUAACUUCUUUUUGGUUAGUGCAAUUUAAAUAAGAGGAUAAUUAGCACUUUUGACAAAGUGGUUGACAAGAAACCUUAAGGCCAUUGAAUUGAAGACCUCGAGCCUUAGUCCUCAAGACAAUAAGACCUACACACUCAUAUAAUAUGCCAACGUCCAAUACCUUCAUCUAUGGGGCAUAGCCUUGGCUAAGUUGGCCAAAUCCAGGUCCUUCGUAUUCUAUACUCCCUUUUUUUGGUUGGCCAAAUUUAGGUUGGGAAAAUGUUUUUUCACACUCACUGUUAAGGUACAUUAGUGUUCGAACAUGAGACCACUGUCCUACAGAUCAUUGCCCUUUUCCAGUUGGCUAGACAUCAUUGAUCACUGUCUGAGGAGCAUUGCUACUACAGCAAAGGUGGUGUAGGUUGAUAGUACUGAUGUUAUUGAAGGCGUGCUUGUUAGAGAAAACAUCUUCAAAUAUAAAGAAUUGUAAUGAAAAGGAGGUUUUGUUUUUGUUUUUUUGUUGUUGUUGAUUAUUGGCUUGUUGAGUUAAGUUGGAAAUUCAGGUGAAGGGAUUUUAUAGAACAAAAAAUGGGAUAUCUAGCUUCCACUUGAAGCUCUUUGAACUCAAGUUGAUGCUUAAAAUAUUAGCAAGCUUUCCCCAAACUUUUCAAAUUUGGUCAAUGUUUAGAUGAGUGAAACAAGCUUCUCAAGCCAUUUUCAAAAGGAAAUUACAUCUUUUAUUUAUGGCAAAAAGUUACUUUUGGUCUUUGUGGCUUAUCUCUUUUACUACUAAGGCCCCCUAUAGUUUCAAUUUGAUCAUUUUUGCGUACGUGGUUUCACUUUGAAGCAAUUUAAGGAUAAUCAUCAAUUUCUGUCAAAUUUUUUUUUUAUAACUUCAGCUCAUUGUGCAUGGGCAAUUUGGUCCAUAAAUUAUCAAAAAAUCAAUUCCUUUUAAAGUUUAAAAAAAAAUUUAAAAAAUUUUCAAUUCCUUUCAAAAAUAAACAAUACAAUUUUCAAAAUAACAAAAAGAUUAGGGGCCGGUAAUGUUUUCAAGGCCCUGUUUUCAUUUUCUACCAAAAAUUCGUUUGGUAUGUCGUUUUCAUUUUUUAUUGGAAUUCAUUUUCUGAAAAUAAAUUAAAACUCAUGUACAAAAACUGAAAACACCAAAUUAUCGUUUUCAUUUUCUAUCUAGUGUAUUGGUUGAUUGCCUUUUUUUCUUUUUCUUUUUGUUGGUCUGAAUUUUUUUUCUUUUUCAUUUGUCAGUUAUUUUUUCAAUUUUUAUUUUUUUUCGCUGCACUUCAUUAUUUUAUUUUGUUGCACGAGUGUAUAUUAAUUUUAUGAUAAAACCAUCAUAUAUUAUUCAAUUUCAUAUUUAUUUUAAACUAAAGAUAAUAGAAUUUUAUUAUCUAGGUUUUUCUAACAUUAGAAUUUUUAUUCUCAAAUGAUACAUUUUUCAUUGUUUAUAAUAAUUUUAGCCUUAAAAAAUAUAUGAGAUUUUUUUUUAAAAAAAAAUUUUAGGACAUAAAUUAGCAAAAAAUAUACUUGAAAAAUAACUCACAUAUUAUUAUUCUCAAAUUCUCCCCACCAGACACUUUUUCACUGUUUUUAUUUUCUGAAUAUGUUUUCCAAUUAAUAUACCAGAUGCAUUCUUGAAUCCUAAAAAUGCAAUUCGUUUGCUCAUUUUCAUUCUUAGAAAAUAUUCUCAAGAAACAUUCUCCAAAAACGUUACCAAAUGGGCCCUUACAAUUCGAAAACCCCAUAUCUUCAUGAUUUUUGGAUACAAUUUCAAAACUGUAAUUAGUAAUCUCCCCAAUAUAUCACAAGUCGAAGCAAUGAGAGAGACAGAGAUGGAGAGAGGGUGGAUUUGGGUAGUGGCUGUGGUGGAUCUGGGCUAGGUGGAGGAGAGAGAAAGAGGUUGGGAGAGGAGAAGGGGAGUGGGAGGCUAUUUCAAAACUAAUUAUUUUAUUUUAUUUUUUAUUUGUAAAAGGAAAGGAUUUUUUGAUAAUUUGUGGACCGAAUUGCCCCUACACAACUAACAAAAAUUUGAAAGAAAUUGAGGAUAGUCCUUGAAUUGCCUCAAAUUGAAACCACAUGAAUAAAAAUGAUUAAAUUCAAACCAUAUGGACAAAAAUGAUCAAAUUGAAACCGCAUGGACUUUAAUGGUAGAAGUGAUAAACCAUAAAAACUAAAAGUUGUUGUAAAGUAGAAUGGGUGAAGCCCACAUAGUCAAAAGGUGAACAGUGAUAAUUGGGUAGAAACAUCAUUAUGUCUUCUCUUUUAUUCACGGGUGCCAUUUAACAUGCCUAUAAAUAGGCAACGCUCUUGCCUGCAAAGAUAGAGAGAACUAACAUUCAAUGAAGAGAUCAGUUUCUAUACUUUCUCUAUAUCUCAAUUCUCUCCAUAAUCUCUUUAGUUUAUAACACGUUAUCAGCACGAUUUCUCUAUCUCUCUGUCUCUCUCUCCCAGCCAUAGCCAGAACCACAGAGUAAAAGCUAGCGGAAGAGCAAACAUCAUUUUACAUCUGUGGGUGGGAGUUUAGGUUAGCUAGCUUGUGAAAUAAUCAUGGCAGCUCCCAUUUCUAGCUCCUCCUUCCUCAUGAGGUACAUCAUUUGUUGCUCUGGUUUUCUAUGCCUGAUUCUGUGCUCUUCGGAGAAGGGCUUUGCCUUGGAAGAAAGAGAACAUGCUCACACAGUUGAAGUCAAUUCUCUGCUUUCUGCAACCACCUGCAGCUCCUCCUCCUCCUCCUAGCCACUGAUUUCUGGCGUGUGAAAAAAAAAGAUGAGAGAAGCCAUGGCUCUUCAGAGGAGAAAAAGUUGGAGCUCAGGCUUGGGCCUCCAGGUGAAGACUGGUCUUUGAAUGGUAACUCCAGAAGCAACAAAGAAAGAGAUGAGUCUCUUCUCUCUCUUGGGUACCUUUCCCCUAUGUCUUCCAACAACAACAACAACAACAACAACAACGUAAACCACCACCGAACCCAGAAAUUUAUCUCUCCCUCAGACAAGUCUGUUUUGUCCUCAUCUCCAUGGUCUUACCAGCUGGGAAAUAUUCAUCAACAUCAGACAAAAGUUCCAUCUUUUCUUCACUUCACAUCAAGUUCUCAGGGCCUGCCUGUUACCCCCAACAAAGCAUCACAGCCCUGUUGCACUGAAGUGGUAGAUUUGCUGAAUGCAGAAAAGAAAGAGAGGCUUUUUCUCGACCAAGGACUACCAAAAGUUGAAGGCCUCUAGUCCCGUAGUCAUGGCCACAGAAGAAAUAGUAUUGAAAAAAAAAAAAGAAAAAAAAAAGAAGGUCCUCUGCUUCCUUAUCUUUCAAUUACUUUAGUAUUAUCCUAUACUAUUUAACUUGCUCUGCAGGUGGAAAGGCAGUAGCAAGCUUGAUAUCCAUCAUUUUUUUUAGCUACAAUUAACAAAAACAUGAUAAAGAAUAGCACCCACCGAAAUGAUGAGCUUCCCACCAUCUUUUCAUUUAUUAUUAUCCUAUAUUAUUUAAUAUUAAUAUUAAUGGUAAUAUAAUAUAUUAUAUUUAUUGUAUGGUGUAGGUUUAUUACCCAUACAACAGUAUCUAUUUAAAAGGGUGGCGCAGGUUUAUCGCCCAUGCCUUUACUUUUAUUUAAAUGUAUGGAGCAGAAUUAGUGCCCAUACAAGCACGUUUACUUUAUCGCAAAUUUACUUUUACUUAAAGUAUGAUGUGGAAUUGACCCUCAUACUUUAUGAAAUUACUUUACUGUACAUUAUUUACUGUAUGGUGUAGGUUUAUUACCCAUACAACAGUAUUUAUUUAAAAGGGUGGCGCGGGUUUAUCGCCCAUGCCUUUACUUUUAUUUAAAAGUAUGGAGCAGAAUUAGUGCCCAUACAAGCACGUUUACUUUAUGAAUUUAAUUUACCGCACAUUUAAUUUUAUUUAAGGUAUGGUGCGGGAUUAACGUCCAUACAGCAAGCAAUUUAAUUUAUCAAUUUACUUUAUCGCACAUUUACAUUUAUUUAAAGUAUGGUGCGGGUUUAUUGUCCAUACCAGUAAUUUAUUUACCAGCAAUUUAUUUUUAAUUGUGCUGUAUGAUGAGUUUUUACAGUAUGCAGAUCAGGACCAGAAGUUCCUUGAUCCUCAUCAUACAAUUACAUCAGGACUUGAAGAUCCUUGAUGAUGAUGAUGUUAAUAUGAGAGCUAGCAGUCUCUCCGGUACUAUAUUUGUAAAUAUGUGAUUGGACUUGAGGGUCCUUGAUCCCUGACAUGUAAAUAAAGACCUGGGGUUCCUUAAUGAUGUGACAGUACCGUAUUGUUUCAUAAUGCCGUACACAUGGAUGAUAACUGUACUGGCAAAUGUACUGUACACAUGAAUAGUGCCGUAUACAUGAAUAGUGAUGUAUGCAUAAAUAUUUACCAUUUUGGGUAAACUAUCACUAUUCAAAAGGGAACCUGCAGUUCCUUAAACUCAUGGAUGAGCAAUUAAAUGAGAUGCCAGAAGUUCCUCAAGAUAUGGACAAUUAUGUAAGGGCUUGAAGUCCAGAAAUAUGUACAGAAAAUUGUAAAAAUGUCCAUACCAUGAGAAUAUGUGAUUUUGGCUUGAGGUUCAAAAUCUAACAGUGUUGAGAACCUGAAGUUCCAACAAUUAAAUGGACAACUCUUGAGGUAUUAUUGCAAAUUGUGGUACGCCACAUAUUUCUUUGGCAUAAGAAAAUGAUGAAUUUAAUAAAGUUCGAUUCUGUUAUAAUCGACACCUCAAGUAAGAAAUAUAUUUUGUGAAUUCCGGUUGUUAAAAAUACACCGUGAAAUGGAUAACCCUCCCCACAUAUUUUGUUAUAUCUGCGCCGGAAGCCCAUGUAUCCAACUAUAUGAGAGGUCCUGAACUUGAAGUUGUGGGUAUAUAGUGGCUUUUACUCAAUUCAUAUUUCAUGUCCAUUUGAAAAGGGCAAAUAAAUUCUGAGUUUGUGUUUAGCCCAAGCCAAAAGUUCCGGGCUCCCAUACGUUGAAAUAUGAAAUUUGGGAGAGUCGAUGAGGUUAUUUGAAUCUAUAAGGCACAAGGUUCCAAACCGUCAUUUUGAAAAGACGUAAAAACCACAGGUGCAAGUUUAAGAAUGUGCGCAAUUAUUAUAACAGGAACAUACAACAGAUAGAUUUUUUUUUCCACCUGCAAUAAAGGUGCAGGCCCUGUAAAAUCUAUAAAAAAUACAUUAUGUUCUGGAAGCCUCUGAAGGAAGAGGACGACGCCUCUUAAGCUUAGCCAUGAGCCUCUCGUGGUCUCCCAAAAUUCUUUCAUUGGAGACCUGCAGCAUGUCUAGCCUUCUCAGUGUAUCAACAGAGUACGAACUCACCAGUUUCAACAAGGCAUUAUUCUCUCCUUUAAGUUUCUCAACCUCCUGUUGAGACUCAUGAAGCAUUCUUUGGAGAGACGAAUUUUCAGUUGUUAACCUCUCAACCUCGUUUGCUCUAGCACGCAAACGAUCAGCCAUGUUAGAAACAGAAGCAGCACUCUGAAUGCUAAAAGCCAUUGAGUCAUCAAUAGCCUCUUCCUCAGAUCUCCCUGUCAACAACAUUUCAUCCAUUGGAAUAAUGAAAUUCCUAGCUACUAUGACAGCAGUAGCAUCAUUCAUCAUCACAGAAUCAUUAACUGUGAGAUGACGAUUUUGGGAUACAAAGGAUGGACGCCAAACUUUGGCAUCAUUGGUAGUUGUGGGAGCAUCAUUUAAAUUGAAAUAAUUUGGGCAGGAAGAAGAGGAAGCCAUUUUAAGAAGGUUUAGAAGAAAGUCUUAGAAAAACUAAAGUUUCAGAAAAUGAAGGAAGUUGAGUUGAAACGCAGUUGCUCCAAUCAAGUUUUGCAAAGGCAAUAUCUAUAGGAGGAAAUAUGGCUACAGUUUCCAGGAUCCCAAUAUUAUCUCAGAUCCCCAUAUUCUCUUUUUCUUUUCCAGAUUCCAAAACUUCAUGCGGCCUCCAUUAAUAUUUGUCGGCACUUUCGGCGUUUUCAAGUAUUAUUUUCGUCAAAACCGAUCUUGCUUUACGGAUUUCACGGAGCUACUUUUUCAAAAGUAUCCCGAGAAUCUCGCAAUUUUCCUAUGGUUAAUUUGGAAUUCACAGGUUCUACCUAUUCAUUGUAUUUGUGUAUAAAUGUGUUACUAACGAAAUUUUCUUUGCAGAAGACAUCCAGUUUUCUCCAUACCUAGUGAUGCGAUAUCUACUUAUUUUUCUUAUCAGUGAGCACUCAAUAUGCCCGAGAAGCAAGACUAUCUCUGAUCAUCCAUUCAGGAAGCGAGACUAUCCCUGAUCACGUUUCCGCCACAUCAGGGAACUGUGAAGGCGACCUUAUGCUCUAAUCUCCGGAAGUUCUUCUAGACUAGGAGAAAUGAGAGCUUGUUGUUUGCUCCCACCAGCUUCCUUCCUUGAUGGCUGAGCUUGUUGUCUGCUCCCACCAGCUUCCUUCCCUGAUUGCUUAUCUUACCUUGCAAUCAAUAUCACAUUUUUUUUGCAUUUUUUCUCUUUUUGUAACUCUCUGUUCAUAAGAGACUUUAUUUCUUUAGAAUGAACAUCUGAAGAAAGAGUCCAUGAAGUGAUCCUAACUCUGAGGGUUAUUUGUUUUGACAGAGGCAAAAGAGUUGUGAUUUUUGCUCUUGCAGGAUAUAACUAGAUCAUCAAGCGCUACAUUAUAUUUACUGGGCCGAUACGAGCUUGAAUGAUACUUGAGAAAAGUUUCUCCCACCUAAGGAUGUAAGCAAUACUUGUGUUGUUUUAUGCUUAUAUACUUACUUGAUAUUUUAUCUUGAAAGGUAACCAAAUGGGGAGAUAAGUCCGUUCCAAAAGAAUGGCUUGUAUGUAUCCAUGAAUUAUUAACGCAAAUUUUACAGAUUGCAAGUUGGAUACAUUGAUAAUACACUGCACAGAUUAAAGUCCCAUAAGAACAGAAUAUGGGUAUAGCAGUGAUCAAUAUGAUGCACGCCUGUUACGUAGCAAAUGAUGGGGAUUGAAGUCCCGAAAGGACAAUCCUUUGACAUGUCAAUAUUGAUAUUGUGCACGCCUAAUACGUAGCACAUUAUAUGGGUUAAAGUCCCAUAAAUUAAUUGACAUGUAUGCAUUAAUCUGUGGCAUGCCUGCAGCAUAACAGAUGUAUGGGUUCUGAAUGUUCCAACUCCCAAAAAUGGAGAUUUUCCACGCCCUAUGUAAAAUAACGCUCCAUUGGAGGUUAUAAUCCACAUUCUCACAUAAUAACAGCCCCCUAGAGUGGCUUGGGUACCCAAAAGCAAAGAAAUGCUUAUAAUUGAUGCAUGCGCAUGCAAAUGAGAAUGAUGGGAUCAUGAAUUGAUGAAUGACAAUUUUUGGUUUUAGAGUAGCUACUCAAAUCAUCAAUGGGCUGUGUUAAUUGGAACCACGUUCAAUUAUUAAAUGUCGACAAUAUCAUUGGCCAAAAUGGAAUGAGGUAAUUCCAUUAUAGAUGAGAAUGAACGUGAAAGAACAAACCCACUGUACGAACCCCAAAAGAUGUUAAUACUGAAAUUUAUACUUGGGUGUUCGGAAUAAAAGGGAAUAUACCUACUUUGUAUGACACAAUGUUUCUGGCAGAAACAAGGAAUGUUAGGUUUUCUCCAUAUUUACAGAUUCAAUUGUGCCUCCUUAUUGCACAUUUACGGAGACCAACAUGUUAUCUUUAAGGGUUAUUAAAUGCACGGAGCAUAUCACCAGUAGUGAUUCCUUAAAGAUGUAUAAAUAGCUGGUUUAAAGCUAUAUAAUGUGUCAUAAAGUUUAAUCCCUUUAAACAAAAUCCUUGAAAGGAUUGAACUUGCAUGAAGCAAGUCCCUGAAGGACAUGUGCCUGAAGCACAAAAUCUGUACUCAAUACUAAUGUGCAUAAAUUGCCUCAGUGAGUACAUUGAUUAUAAUGUGUUUGCAACACAUUAAAGCUUCUGAAGAGUUCAAGAAAUAUUUGUCUCGACUUAAAGAUCGAGCAUUAUGCCAACGAGAUUCUUGCUUAUACUAAGAAAGUAUUGAAGCAUUUUUAUGAGGAUUAUCCGUUGGACACUUUAAGGAUUUUCCGGAAGUAUAUUGGACCGUACAUUGUAUUUUCCAGAUAGAGCUCAACUCCAUAUAUUUGGGAUGAUGUAAGGCAUAUUUGAUGCUAUCUCAGCAUAACACCAUAUACAGGCAUAUUUUUGAGUAAACUUAUAAAUAGCCCAAGUGUUAUUAGAUAUGCGGACUCUGGAAAUCUCUAUGGUCACUUACUGGAAAAAGCUAGUCAUGAAGUUUUCAGGGGGAGAUAUUCAUCAGGGGGGAGCGUGCUGUCAAUAAAGACCUUUUCACACUGUACUCUUUUUCCUUCGUCCAGGUUUUUAUCCCACUGGGUUUUUCCUAGCAAGGUUUUAACGAGGCAGUGUCGCACGCAUGUCAAUAUACACAGAAUUUUAUGUUACACAUGGUUAUGUACUUUUUUUUCCCUUCGACCAGUUUUUGUCCCACUGGGUUUUUACUGGCAAGGUUUUUCUAUACUCAUAUCAAGGGUGACAGGACUAAGCACAUAUCACCAAAGUUUUUCUAUACACACGAGCUCCAGAAGAGUCAAGAAAUUAAAGUCAGACAAAUCCGCUCAAGCGAUAACCUGGCAGAUCUCUUCACUAAAUCAUUGCCGAAAUGUACAUUCCAAAAGUUAGUGCAUGGCAUCGGCUUACGACAACUCUGCAAGAAAUCAAGUUGGAGCAUGCAAAAUCAGGGGGAGCAUUCAAGAGUCCUCUAACACAGGACAUAUGCGCGUUGUACUCUUUUUCCUUCGACUAGGGUUUUUCCCCACCGGGUUUUUCCUAGCAAGGUUUUAACGAGGCAACAUGAGCGUAUUACCUUUAUGUCCCAAAUAAAGUUGUACUCUUUUUCCUUCGCUUAGGUUUUUUCCCACUGGGUUUUUCCAAGCAAGGUUUUAAUGAGGCAACCAAUCUAGGAACAUGUGGUCUCCAAGGGGGAGUGUUGUAAAGUAGAAUGGGUGAAGCCCACAUAGUCAAAAGGUGAACAGUGAUAAUUGGGUAGAAACAUCAUUAUGUCUUCUCUUUUAUUCACGGGUGCCAUUUAACAUGCCUAUAAAUAGGCAACCCUCUUGCCUGCAAAGAUAGAGAGAACUAACAUUCAAUGAAGAGAUCAGUUUCUAUACUUUCUCUAUAUCUCAAUUCUCUCCAUAAUCUCUUUAGUUUAUAACAAAAGUGACUUUUUGCCUUUAUUUCUCUAUGGGAACAGCCCAAUUAUGAAUAGGCUUGUUUUUUAAAAGAAUGAAGCUUAAGAAUUCCAACUAAGUUAACUUGUUUUCGGUUCUGAAGAACAAACCCCCAAAAUGAAACAAACCCUUAGCUGUUUGCUAACCUAGCAACUGAAGCUGUUUGCUGACACUAGAAACAAACCCUCAGCACAUGUGUUUGUUGUAUUAUUAGAUACUAAUAAUCCGGCACACAUACUAUUCAUGAGUAGAGAAUAAAUAUCCCUCAUUACUUUAACUUUUUAGUUGUGGGUCAAAUCCAGAUCCUCCGUUUUCUUCUCUACUAUAUACAUAUUUUUUUGUGUGUCCAAAAUUAGGAAGGGGAAAAUAUUUGCUCACACACACUACAUACCAAGGUGACACGGGGAUAUAACCUGAGACCACUGUUCUACACAUCAUUACCCUUUUCACCGAACUAGACUUCAUUGAUCAUUGUCCUGUGGAGCAACUUCAACUGGUAGUGCAAGGGCAAUUUGGUCCAUAAAUAAUAAUAAAAAAACCAGUUUUUUUAUUUAUAAAAAGUUUAACUUUCAAAAUACAAAUAUAAAUUUUUUUUUAAUCCUUUUAAAAUUAAACAAUACAAUAUAUAUAUAUAUAUAAUCAUUCCUUUCUCAUUCCUGUCUUUCACACAGUCCUAGAUUCUUCUCCAAGUCGGAAUCUAGGCAAGCACUUCUUCGUUAACCAUCACCACCGCUGCCAGGUAUUCGUGCUACCGCAACCAUCAUAGUCACUUCGUCAGCAGCGGUCUUACCUUUUGAAGGCCCUAGGGCUCAUUUAGUUCAUGAAUUGAACUUCUUGGGAAUAAACUUCCCAUUUCUAAUCCCACAAGAUGGGAAUGGAGCAGUGACGGAUCCACAUAGGGGCAAUGGCGUCAACUAACCCCUUCAAGCCUGGAAUCCACCAUAGGAGGCCAAUAACUUGACCCCUGCAAAUUGUCCAAAAGGUGUUUGAUGAAAUGCCCCCAAAGAAGGAGCAGCCACAGCCAGCAAGAAGCUUGUUGUGCGUGCGCUUCAAUUUUUUAUUUUUUUUCGUGACUUCAAAAUGACGUUGUGCCACUUAAGUGGUUUUAAAAUUUUUUUAUUUUAUUAAACCUGGUCAAAAUGACGUCGUUUUGGCUAGGUUAAAAAAAAAAAUCCAGUAGUAGUUGUUGCCCGAUAAAACAGAUUGGGGGAAACCCUAAAUCCCUAACUCCAAGCCCUAAUUCUACCCAACCUUCGCCCAAUUCGACGGCCUCCCCACAUGGAUCACCCUCCGGCGCCGCCGAUUUCCUCAUCCAAUGACGGCACCAAACCCCAAAUUCAAUUUGGUUUGAAAUUUGCUCUCAAAAUUGAAAGUAUGUUAUCAUAUUUCCUAAUCUUUUUAUGCUUUGAUGAGAUUGAUUAAUAUGUCAAUUAGUUUGAAUGAAUUAGAGUUUUUAAUUAAUUAAAAUAUGUUAGUUUGUAUGUUUUAAUUUGAUGGAUUUCAUCCCUCCAAUUGAAAGUAUAUUAUCCUAAUUUCUAAUCUUUUUUUUUAUGCUUUAAUUGAUUAAUAAAUAUUUUUGUAUGUUUUUAUUUUUCUUGAUUAGUUGUUGUUGUCGAUUGUAUUUAUUAGGAGUUUUUGAUUAUAUUGUAUUUGGUUUUUUUUGGGGUCAAAAUUAUAUCAUAUUUGUUUGUUUGUAUAAAUUGGAUUAAUUUUUGUGUUUAUUAAUUAAUGAAGAUUCUUAUAUAUUUUGGUUAGUUAGAAUAAAUCUUGGCAAUUUGGAUUACUAAUUUGUUUGUUUGUUUUUUGAAUAGAAAGUUAUGGAACGAUACUUUAAGAGAAAGUUCUCAUCAACUACUUCUAGUUCAGAUAAUAUGGGUAGUUCAAACUCAAGAGAUGUGGGUAGUUCGAAAGAAAGUGAGUUGCAAAAUCUUAUGAAUAAUCUUCCUACAGACCCUGGACUUCGACGUCAAAUGUUGGAUUAUGAUCCUAACAUUCGAGAUGAAGUUCGAAGAGCAUUUACAAAAAGGUCCCUGUCUCCCUAAGAAUCACACAUUUCCACAAAUCGAUCUUUCAGGGUAUGAUCGACGCUUUAAUGUCAAGUGGUUUGAUGAGUUUGACUGGUUAGAGUAUAGUAUAAGUAAAGAUAUUGCAUUUUGCUUUUGUUGUUAUCUCUUCAAAUUCAAUUUCAAAAUUGGUCAAGGGUGUAGUGAUGCCUUCACAAAGAUGGGUUUCAUAAAUUGGAAGAAGAAAGAAAGAAUUAAGAAUCAUAUUGGAGGUGUUGGAAGUGUUCAUAAUCAAUAUAAACAAUAUUAUGUAGAUCUAAUGAAUUAGAAGCAAUACAUCCAAACAGUUUUAGGCAAGUAAUCAGACCAAACUCGUAUUGAUGAUCAUAUUUGUUUGAUAGCUUCUCUUGAUUGCGUGAAAUUUUUGUUGAAGCAAGGUCUUCAUUUUUAUGGCCAUGAUGAGAGUGACACUUCAAACAACAGAGAUAAUUAUUUGGAGCUCUUACAAUUUCUUGCUGAUCAUGAUGAGAAAGUUAAGGCUAUUGUGUUAGAAAAUGCUCCAAGGAAUCUCAAGCUAAUAGCUUUAACAAUUCAAAAAGAUCUUGUGAAUGCUUGUGCCACUGAAACUAUUAAGAAGAGUUGGUAUUCUUAUUGAUUGGAUCUUUCUAGGGUGGAGGAACCGGCAGUACAACACCUCACUAAACUCAAAACGAAACAAAAAUAAGCCAAAUUCAAACCAAGACCAAGUAAAAGCCAAACCCAAAUCAGCGAGGAUAUCCCUAUAAAAAGAAAUAGAAAAUCAAUGUAGACAAGAAGGGAAAUGACGUAUGGCAUUUACAGAGUCACAAAUAGCAAUUGAUGAAAGCAUCGGAUGAAAGCACAGGGAAGAGAAGGAGUUGUGGUGCAAAAAAGACAUAGAGGUUAGUGGAUUGGAGGUGUAAGCGCGGAAAUUUUGACUAUGACAAAAAGACUGAAAAGCUUUGAUAUUUACCACGAUGUGAAAACCCUCUCAGUCAUCUAAUUAAACAUUAAAUUACUUGAUGCUUUCGACCAAAAAAGGGAAAAUACAUUACUUUAUGCAUUUUUCCUUGUCUUUUUCCAUGGUCAAUAAUUCACGGGCAUGAACUAUACCAAAAAACUAGUAGAUAUACCUUCAUUUUCUUGAUGUCACUCCAGGCCAGCUUGUUAAAUAAUAGUAUAAAUAGUUGUCUUUCCCUAUCUGUCUCCUAAAAGAUAUACACAUAUAUAUAAUGCAUAAUAUGUAAUAGAAAAUUAGAUAUGAAUUUCUUGAGUUGGGGAGGAGAGAGAGAGAGAGAGAGAGAGAGAGAGAGAGAGAGAGAGAGAGAGAGAGAGAGAGAGAGAGAGAUGGAUUUCUUGAGUUUCAUACUAUUGUGUCUUAUAGUUGCAUGGAUCUCAAUCCAUACCCUCUAUUAUUCCUUUGCAAGAAGAUCAUCAAAUCCCACAAGGCUUCCACCUGGACCAAACCCAUUUCCCUUCAUUGGAAAUCUUCUAGAGCUUGGAAACAAACCCCAUCUCUCUCUAACCAAGCUUUCACAACGCUAUGGCCCCGUUAUGACUUUACAACUCGGCCAAAUAACAACAGUCGUAGUUUCUUCAUCCGCAGUGACCAAACAAGUCCUCCGCACCCACAACCAAUUCUUCUGCAUCCGCCGUGACCAAACAAGUCCUCCGCACCCACAACCAAUUCUUCUGCAACUGAACUAUCCCGGAUGCAGUCCAAGCCUGCAAGCAUGCUAAGUAUGUUAGAAUUCAAUGUUUUCAGCAUUUUGGAUGUUUUGGGAAGAAUGAAGAGAUCACAGAGUGAGUGUGAGGAAGAGAACGUUGCUCUCAGAAAAGUAGAAAAACUUCAGAUAUUGCUAUUCAUCAUAUUCCACUGUUUUUGUAUAUUGGUAUAUGAGUGAGAGAAGUGAGCUACUUCUCUAACUGAUUUACAAGGGAAUUAAAUCCUAGCCUUUGAUCCUAUCAUCCUAUGAGAUGAUCCCACUUGUCAUAAUCUGACAUUUAGAUCCUAGGCAAGAUAAGAGGCCACUUGGACUAUGAUCCAAUGGCUCAAAUUACAUCAGAAAAAAAUAAAACUUAUAAAAUGAAAUAGAAAGGACUUUGUGACUUUGGCUCCAAGGCAUUCAGCUUAAGGGUUACACAUCAACACUCCCUUCUAACCCUUUAGCUGAUUUCACACCAAGUAGGUCUCUUAGAUACACAAAACGAUCCUUGGACAAAGCCUUGGUUAGUAUGUCUGCAAUCUGAUCUUCUGAUUUACAGUAGGUUAGUUCAAUCUCCUUUGCUUGAAUAGCUUCUCGAAUGAAAUGAAACUUUCGGCUAAUAUGUCUGGUUUUCUGGUGGAAAACUGGAUUCUUUGCCAUUGCUAUGGCAGAGGUGUUAUCACACAAAAUUGGUGUACCUUCCACUUGUUCCUCUCCAAAAUCUUCAAGUAUGAACCUUAGCCAUUUAGCUUGUGAUGUUGCUUCAACAGCACUAACAUAUUCUGCCUCUGCAGUGGACAAGGCUACUGUGUUUUGUUUAAUUGAUGCCCAUGAGAACAUCCCAGAUCCUAGUGUGAAUGCAUAUCCUGAAGUACUUCUUCUAUCAUCUUCACUUCCUGCCCAGUCACUGUCACAAUACCCAAUCAAGGUAGUUGUCUUCCCUUUUAUAAAUUCAAUUCCAAAGUCAAGUGUGCCCUGAAUGUAUCUCAAUUCCCUCAUGGCUGUUCCCAUGUGUUUUCUAGUAGGAUUAUGCAUGAAUCUAGCAAGCAAGCUAGAAGCAAACAUUAUGUCUGGUCUUGUAGCUGUCAAAUAGAGCAGGCUACCUACAAUCUGUCUAUAUUCACUCUCAUUUGCUGCCUCACUGCCAUCUUCUUUGCACAACCUUUCACUUGCAACUAGUGGAGUUACCACAGACUUGCAGUCCUUCAAUCCAAACUUUUCAAUCACUGUCAAUGCAUAUUUCUUCUGAUGAAGAAAGAUAUGUUUAUCUGUUUGUAAUACUCCCAUCCCAAGAAAAUGGUAGAGUAGUCCAAGAUCAGACAUUUCGUAAUGUUGCAUCAUAUCAUUUUUGAACUCUUCAAGUAACUUUGGACAACUUCCAGUAUAGACAAUAUCAUCCAUAUAGAGUGAGACAAUAAGAAUACCUGAAUCUUCACUUGUUUUGACAUAAAGUGUUGCUUCACUAGGACUUUUCUUGAAUCCUGCCCUGUUGAAGUAAGAGUCUAUCUCAUCAUACCAGACUCUUGGAGCUUGCUUUAGUCCAUACAGGGCCUUAUUCAACUUAUACACUCUGAUUUCUUCAUUUUCCUUCACAAAAUCCUGUGACUGCUCCACAUAAACCUCUUCCUUUAACACUCCAUUCAGAAAGGCAGAUUUUACAUCCAGUUGAUAUAGAUUCCAUUCCUUCUGUGUAGCAAGUGCUAUCAAUGUUCUAAUAGUAUCCAAUCUUGCUACUGGAGCAAACGUCUCAUUAUAGUCUAUUCCAGGCUUCUGAGAGUAGCCUUUUGCCACAAGUCUGGCCUUGUUUUUCUGCACAGAUCCAUCCAGAUUUAGUAUAGUUUUGUAGACCCACUUGACACCAAUAAUUGGCUUGCCAAAUGGUCUGUCCACUAGUUUCCAUGUAUUAUUUUUCUCAAUCAUUUCCAGCUCAGCCUUCAUUGCAUUUCUCCAUGACUCAUCUAGAUCAGCUUCUUCAAAACUGUCAGGUUCCACAAUGCACAUAUUGCACUGAGCCAUGAUUUCGUUAACACAUCUCCAUUUCUUUGGUGUGUGAUCUAUAGCUUGAGAACUUUCACUUAUUCCUUCAUUUUGCAGAGUAAAGCCUUCAUCCAUUUGGAUUGGUGUAUCCAAGCCUUGACUUGGUUCAUUUUGUUGUGUGAUUCCUUCAUCCAUUUGCAUUUGUGUAUCCAAGCUUUGACUUGGAUUACAAUUUUGAUUUUCAGUAGACACAGGGACUGUCAUUUCUCCUGCACUUGCAUUCUCCCACUUCCAUGAGCUAUUCUCAUCAAACUGCACAUCUCUGGACAGAAUAACCUUUCUAGUGCUUGGAUCAAAUAGCCUGUAGCCCUUUUCACAGAGUCCAUAACCCACGAAUAUACACUUGUGGCUAUUUUCUUCAAGUUUAUGCCUUAAUGCUGAAGGAAUGAGCACAUGACAAGGAGAUCCAAAUAUCUUUAAGUGUGCAAUUCCUGGUUUUCUGCCAGUAUAAGCUUCAAAUGGUGUUACCUUCUUGAGAGACUUGGUGGGAUAUCUAUUUAGUAGAUAGACUGCAGUAUUUACAGCUUUAGCCUAAAAAUCAUAAGACAUACCCUUCUCAUGCAGUAUAGAUUUUGCCAUUUCCAUUACUGUCCCGUUCUUUCUCUCAGCAACUCCAUUUUGCUGAGGGGAGUAUGCUAUAGUUAGCUGCCUUUGAAUUCCAAAUUCAUCACAGAACUUGUUAAAUUCACUGAAUAAAACUCUCCACCCCUGUCACUCCUCAGGCCUUUUAUCUUAUAUCCACUUUGCAGCUCAGUCAUAGCCUUGAUCUUUUUAAAACAUUCGAGUGCACUUGACUUGUUUCUGAUGAAAUAUACCCAUGACAUUCUAGUGCAAUCGUCAGUAAACAGCAAGAAAUACCUAUUUCCAGAGAUGGAUUCAGUCUUCAUUGGUCCACAGAUGUCUGUGUGAACCAAUUCCAAAGGACUUGUAGCUCUCCAAGUGAACUCCAAAGGGAAAGAAUCUCUGUGUUGCUUUCCUAGCAUGCAGCCUUCACAUACUACUGAAAUUUGCCCCAAAUGAGGUAAGCCAUGUACCAUGCCUUGAUCCUCAAGCAGUUUUAUGCUUCUUUCUUUUAAGUGCCCCAAUCUCUUAUGCCAUGUCUGCAAGCAGUGUGUAACACCUGCCUUUAAGGCCAAAUCAUUUGCAGGCAUUAUUGUAAGUGGAAAGCAUCUGUUAUUGGUCAUUUGAACCCUCACAAUCAGAUUUCUCAGUGACUGAUCAUCAUAAACAUUCACCAUAUUCUCUCCAAACACAAGAUAGUACCUAUGCUCCAUCAUUUGCCCAACACUAAGCAGAUUUUCUUCAAGACUAGUUACAAGCAUUACUUCUUGAAUGUGCUUCUUACCCAACUUGGUUUUUAUCACAAGAGUCCCUUUUCCUGCAACUGGAACUAUUUCUCUAGUACCCAUCUUUACUUUAGAAGUCAAAUUUCUUUAUAUAUUGACUAACAGACUCUCAUCACCUGUCAUGUGGUUACUACAGCCACUGUCAAUGUACCAAGAAUGAUUUUCCUUCACAUCUAUCACAGCAUUGCAUGCAUAGAAUAGGAUUCCAGUUUCUUCAACUUGAUUUGCAUAGUUCAAUUUUUGUACAUUUUUAUUUCCAUGACACUCUCUGAGCAUAUGUCCAAAUUUCCCACACCCUUUGUAUUUAGGCUUUCCUUCAAACCAACAUUUGCCAAAAUGCAGUUUCUCACAGUGUUUACAAGCCGUUUUAUUCCCAUAGUUAGAUUUCCAAUUCUUUUGAGGUUUUUGAUCUCCAGAAGAAACUCCACUCUUAGAAUUCUUUUCUUCAAUAUUCAGACUAGUAAAGGACAUUUCUGUAGAGUUCUCAUUGUGUCGAUCCAAUCUGAGCUCAAAGCUCCUCAGAGAAGCAACUACUUCUUGAAUUUCAAGAAUCUCAAGAUCCUUGGAGUGUUCAAUCACAGAGCAGUGGUUCAAAAUCUCAAACAAUCUAGCAAGAUAUACAGAUAGGGAUUCACUGUCUUUCAUGCGAGUAUAUUCAAAUUCUCUACGCAAUCCUUGCAGUUUUACAUUUCGUACCUGUUUAUCUCCUCUGAAUUCCAGCUUCAAAAUAUCCCAAGCACCCUUUGAGGUCUCCUCAUUCACUAUUCUGGGGAAGAGCUGAUCUGAGACAGCACUUUGGAUCAAUCCAAGUGCACGAGCAUCCUUCAUCAGAAGCUCAGCCAUCGUAGACUUCUCAGCAACCUUAGUCUCUUCCAUCUCCUUUUCCUUCUUUGGAUCUGAAGCAUUGAAGCCAUGUUCAACCAGAUCCCACAAUCCGUGAGAUUUCAGUAUUGUUUUCAUCCGAAUGCUCCAGAACUCAUAGUUUUGUCCAUUGAAAACUGGUGUGCGAAGCUCAGUAGUGCCCGAUCCUGACAUAUUAGACAUUGGAUUCAAGAAAUCUCAGCUGCAAUCGUAGAAGGAGCUCAGACCCAGCUCAAAUCAAUUCCUACUCCCUGUUCACAGAUUCACGCCCAGCUCAAACAAUCGAACCUGGCUCUGAGGCCAUGUUAGAAUUCAAUGUUUUUAGCAUUUUGGAUGUUUUGGGAAGAAUGAAGAGAUCACAGAGUGAGUGUGAGGAAGAGAAUGUUGCUCUCAAAAAAGUAGAAAAACUUCAGAUAUUGCUAUUCAUCAUAUUCCACUGUUUUUGUAUAUUGGUAUAUGAGUGAGAAAAGUGAGCUGCUUCUCCAACUGAUUUACAAGGGAAUUAAAUCCUAGCCUUUGAUCCUAUCAUCCUAUGAGAUGAUCCCACUUGUCAUAAUCUGACAUUUAGAUCCUAGGCAAGAUAAGAGGCCACUUGGACUAUGAUCCAAUGGCUCAAAUUACAUUAAAAAAAAAUAAAACUUACAAAAUGAAAUAGAAAGGACUUUGUGACUUUGGCUCCAAGGCAUUCAGCUUAAGGGUUACACAUCAACAAAGUACGGCAUGCCCUAGCUGACGGUUUCCCCCACUUGGAGAAACCUCCGCAAAAUAUGCAACACCCAGCUUUUCGCGGCCAAAGUUCUCGGCGCCAACCAGGCUAACCGUCACCUAAAAGUGUAGGAGCUCAUAGCUGACGUUAAGGAAAGCACUGUGAAGGGUAAGGCGGUUGAAGUUGGAAGGGCUGCUUUCAAAACUACACUCAAUUUGAUGUCGCGGACUGUGUUCUCUGUGGAUUUAGCGGACCUGAACAGUGAGAGGGCUAGAGAGUUCAAGGAGUCGGUAUGGAGUAUAUAUUAUGGAGGAGAUUGCGAAACCAAACUUGGCUGUUUAUUUUCCUGUGCUUAAGAAGGUUGAUCCCAUGGGGAUACGGCGCCGUUUGGGCAAGCACUUCCAGAAGAUGAUUGAUCUUUUUGACCGCAUGAUCGUCCAAAGGUUAGAAUCAAGGAAGUCACGUGAUUAUGUCACAGGGAAUGAUAUGUUGGAUAGUUGCUACUUAUUGCUAUAUUACUACUCUACUCUAUCUCUACUAAUUGUUCUUGAUGACCUUGUCUGAAUUCAUAAUUAAACUGCUUAGAUUUUACAAUUAUAACUUAUUAUUGUUGUUUCUGUUUUUGUUUAUGUUAGUACUAUAAACAAUGUCUACACUGAUUAAUGUUUUGUGUUCGAAUUUCCCUAUAUUGCUUGUACAAAAAUAUAUAUAUAUAUAUAUAAUUUUAUUUCGUCAUUAUAUGUCUAUGUGCCCAUAUUAAUUUAUUGACUAAUUAACUUUUUGGUGAAUUAGGAUUUAUUUGGUGCGGCCACAGAUACAACUUCAGCCACACUAGAAUGGGCAAUGGCUGAGCUAUUACACAACCCUGAAAAGCUGUCAAAAGCACAAGAGGAGCUGAAGCAGGUCAUUGGCAAAGGAAAACCAGUGAAGGAAUCAGACAUCACUCGGCUCCCUUACAUAUACAAGCCAUAAUCAAAGAGACCUUCCGGCUGCACCCAGUUGUCCCACUUCUUCUCCCUCGUAGAGCCCAAGCAGACGUAGAAAUCUACACUUACAUUGUACCAAAGGGUGCACAAGUUUUGGUCAACGCAUGGGCCAUCGGCAGAGACCCCAGAAUUUGGGACAACCCUACCUCAUUUAUUCCUGAGAGGUUUUUGGGAUUGGAUAUCGACGUUACUGGCCAGAACUUUGAGCUUAUUCCAUUUGGUGGCGGGAGGAGAAUAUGUCCUGGGUUGCCUUUGGCGAUGAGAAUGUUGAAUUUGAUGUUGGGUUUGCUUAUUAACUCGUUUGAUAAUUGGAAGCUUGAAGAUGGAGUUGUGCCGGAAAAAAUGAACAUGGAAGAGAAGUUUGGCCUCAGUUUACGGAUGGCUCACCCUCUGAUAGCUGUGCCCAUCAAGUAUUAGGAGAACCAAACCUAGCUAGCUAUGGUUUCUACGAUAAAUGGAUUUAUGUUUUUAUUAGGGAGUUACAAUAAUUAAUCCUACUAAUGAUAGGAAAUGGUCAGUUGUCAGUUGUCAGUAAUGUUGUUAUUAGGCCAUAACUCCAUAUUUAAGUUUAUGAUAGUAGCUUGCUGUAAUUGUAGAUUGUUCUCCACAGACUUCAUAUAUAUAUGUGUGUGUGUGUGUGUGUAUUGUAUAAUAAUCAUAUGAAUGACUAUGGAAAAAUAAGUUUCUACAUGGUAUCAGAGCUAAUGGCUAAUGCCGAUUAGCGAUCCUCUAAUUACCAAAUUGAGAGUCGUUGGCACUCCUCACUCCUCACUCCUCACCCUUAAGGGUUUUUGUUUAUGUAUAGUGCUUUUUCAUCUCCUCUUCUCAAAGACGAAUAUGUUUUUCCUUUCCACCUUAGCUGUAGCCACACCUUUCUUUUACCACUGCAACCUUUUCUUCUAUUAGCCCGUUAUUUUUGUGUCUCCGUCGCGCCGUCUUUAUUGCAGACCAUCCCCUCCAUUGAGCUCUCCCGGGGCAACCCACAGCAGCUCCAUUUAUCUCCCUUGGCCAUGAUGGCCAGAUUUCUGUUUCCUUCGCGAGCCUCGUCACCACUCACCGAGUCUUCUCCUCGCCGGCCUUUAUCUCUCUCAUGCCAUGCUAUCUUGCUGUUGUUAUUCUCUUGCACAGCCGUUGCCUAUCCCUCUUAUGGCUCGCCGGCCCCUUGUUAUCCAUCAAUGUUGGGCCACUUCUCUCUGCUGAAACUGAGCAGCAAAUUUUCCUUACCUUCUUGAGCUUCUUGUUCUCAUAAGCUCCAUCUUUUUGUCUGUUUUCCCUCAAAGACCAUACCUCUGUAUCAUUGGUUUCUCUCAUUUUCUUGAAAUCUCCCUCCACUUUCUUUAUUUUGAGCUUCUUUCUCUGUUUAUCUGAGAGACUCUCCCUCCCUAUCAAGGAGUUCUCUUUUCUCUCUCUUCCAUUUUCAACAUUUUUGGUUUUUUUUUUUUUUUUUUUUGUAAUCUUCUUGUUUUACUCUUCACACCACUGAUAUCCCUUUGCUUAGCUCUCUUUCUUGAGCUCUAUAUUUCUAUGCUUCCCACGUGCUGGGUUUUGCUCUCAUUUUCUUAUAUUUAUUUUAUUUAAAAAAAACAUAAUUUGUUUAUGAACUUGUCUCAAGAGCCUGUCUUGCUCACGCUCCUUUUUUUUUGUCUAUCUCACCGUGAAACUCUUACAUGGUUUUUUUUUUCCCUCUUUUUUGUCUAUGCCCAAUGGCAAGUGUUUGUUUGUUUGUUUUUUUUUUUUUUUUUUUGUGGUUUUUUUCUUCCCCAUCCCUUUACUUUUAAAAAUUGGGUUUCUCUCUCUUUGUGCACUACUUUCUGGCCUUUAUUUUCCCACUUACCGCAUGCUCUCUAUCCUACCUAAAGGGUGAUUCCUAGGUAGAGUUAUGUUUCUCAGGUGCCUAGAGUUGUUUCCUAUGUACAUUUGACUUGUAUGUCAGCCCGUCAUGUUUUUUCUUUCCUUCCAUGAGCCCAUGCACUAUACAUUUGACUUGUAUGUCAGCCCGUCAUUUUAUUCUUUCCUUCCAUGAGCCCAUGAGCUCCUUCACUUGUUGCCUUUCAAUGGGCAUUAUUUUUAUUUUUCUGUUACUUUGUUUCUCUCAAGCCAUUGUUGCACCUAUGGAGUUCUUCUUUUUGGUUUCCCUUACUGGACUACUACAUUCGAUUGCUGCCACCAUCUCCAUCACCAUGUAGUUUCUUCACUCAAAUCUUGCUAUGUUGUGUGCGAAGAUGGUUCUCUACAGACUUGUAUAUAUAUAUAAUGUAUAAUGAUCAUAUGAAUUACUAAGGAAAAAUCAGUUUAUAUAGUUUUCAUCUUUUAUAAAUUAAGAUUAUGUUGUGUAUGCAUCCACCUUGUAACUCAAGUGGUUUUGAACUAGGGAUGGCAAUGGGUCGAAUCAGGGGUGGGCAUGGCAUUUCCAUCCCCAUCCCAUUAAGCUUUUUUCCCCAUUCCCGCCUUCAUAACUGUAAUAUUCAUAUCGGGGAUUCCCUAUCCCCACCUUCAAUGGAGAAUGGAUUCUGAUAGGAUCCGCUCCGGAAUUUCCAGGAAACCGAAGCGGACCCCGUCUUUGUUCCGACAUCUACCCGAUGCCGGGCCCACUUACGAAGAAACCGAGACUUUCUACCAAAAAUUUGGCAGAGUCUCCCCUGUAAUUUAAGCAAACCCAACAAAAAUUUUCAACAUGCAACAUACAUAAAUUAAAAAUCCUAACCAGCAACAUGCUUUCAUAAUUCAACAAGUCAUACUAAAUGGCCUCCGGCCUCACAAGUAUAAUCUACCAUGGGUGAUAACAGAGCAUCUACUGAAUUUAGAUUACAAGAACAGUUGAGUAGAAGAAAUUACUCAAAUCCUAACUAGGAAGGUUCACAGUUCGAGGCUCGUACACCAUUUGCACGCUUCCGGGAGCGACUAUUGGCUGAGGGGCGCGAAACAGAAAACAUGUGAGUAGACAAAAACCAUAUUUGCAGUUUAAAAUAAUAUAGUAACCCCAUCGUGUAAAAAUAAUGCUCAAAUCAUGCAGGUUCACAAUUCAAUAUUUAAUUACUCAAAACAUGAUUCAUUUAAAACUCUUCAAAAUACAAAUCAUCUCCUUCAUAAACCCCAUUCUCUCAAACUUACAACUCCUGCCAAACCACUGAAAAAAUUUAAUUCUACACUCACUCAACUAUACAUAUAUAUAUAUAUAUAUAAAUAUAAAUAUACAUAUAUAUAUAUAUAACUAUAAAUAGUUAUACGAUAUACUCAUCACACUACCUAGGUACCGGAAAAACGAUCCAACUGGGGGGAUCGUUUGAUUAGUCCACAGGAUUUCCAGGUGCUAUCCUGCGUCUAGGGAUGAGCGGUCCAACAGGGGGACGAAACUCCAAAGCUCCCACACCGGAACAUCCAACGCCAUGUGUAGCCCCCAAACUAUGUCCUACGCGCGCAGACUGGAUCAUCACACACCAGAACAUCCAACGCCAUGGGUGAUGACCCUAAACACUAUACAGGUCUUUCCAUACGCCGGAACAUUCAACGCCGCAUAUAGAAAGUGUCUCACACGCUGGAACAUCCAACGCCGCGAGUGAGACGCAUAACCUAUUCUUCCCACACGCCGGAACAUCCAACUCCGCGUGUGAAAAGUCUAAUAACUGAGGAAGGUACUUACAUAGUGUAAUCAUACAACUUCUCACAACAACCCCUCAUAAUCAAGUUCUAUCACAACGCACUACAACAACCCAAGUAUCUCGCCUAUAGAGAAUAUAUAUAUACUUCCCCAAAAUCCUUAUAAAACACACUCUCGAUACCCAAAAUGCCAAACUUACAAUAUAUUGCCAAGCGCUAUACAAACAUUAUAUUCAACUCAAGAAUAUAAUAUAUUCAAUAAGCCAUUAAAAUAUUAUGCAAAAAUAUUUCGUCAAUAAAACCAUGCAUAUGAUUGAAAACAAAGUCCACUCACAAAUAUUCCCACACUGCCUGACCACGUGAGCGUCAUGCCUGCUAAGUACGUGCAGUCGAAACACCUAUUUCGAGAUACGAACCGUUAAUUAAUAUAAAAUUACGUCGAAGCGGAAAUCACAAAUUAAAUGCUUAAAUCCCCAAAUUCCCAAUACGUGCACGUUGAAGAAGGUGUCCUAAGGUCCGAUUACAGGUUUGGAAUCGUUCACGAUUUUACGGUUAUCGCUAACCCGCAAACUUUGCGUUAUUGAAUCGGAACAUCCGGGACUCCGAUUCAUAAUCCGUGAAGUCCCAUACGGUCCUAGGAAUACCUAGAACAACAUAUUUUAAUUCGGAAAAGAUCUAAGGGUCGGAACCUAUCGAACCCGGAUAACGCACAAUAUGCGAAAAUCCGUUCGAUAGUCAAACGACGUCCGAAUUGAGAUCCGCGAAUUUCUAUGUGCUCGUGACAACCUAAGGAUCUCAUUGGGUUAAAUUGCAUCUUCACAGCCUCGCCCACGCGCUGCCACAUGCGCCAGCAGUGCGUGGGUGUGUAGAGUAAUUUCGGUGACAGAGAAACUCCACACCCGAGCUCACCCUUCCUAUCCUAGCUUCUACUCAAGGUCAGGAUCACUUCAUUCAACUAUGGGAAGGUCCAAUUCGGGCGGCAAUUGGCCGGAAUUUCACUUUGAAAUCCAGCCAAAACCUAGGUUUCUAAUCGAUUUUCUAGACAACAAUUCGGUCCAAACCUAUACAACAAUCAGCUAGAACUCGGAAAAUGGAUGAGAAACCAUACCUCACUCAUCGGGUUUGGGCGGCGGAGGCAGCGGCGCGACGACGGGAAAGCUCCAGUUCAAACCAGUCGAGCUCGUGGCCGGAGUUCGUGGUUUCCGACGGGAAAAACCGGCUAGCCUUGAUCGGGACGUCGAGGCGAAUCGAUCGGGACCGGUGGCGUGCCUGGCCGUGGCCGGUGCAGAGAGAACCGAAGAGAGAGAGUGUCGGUGUCGGGGAGAGAGAGAGACUGAGGAGAGAGAAAGCUGAGCGCGGGCGAGGAGAGAGAGAGAGCUUAGGUGAAAAAAAUCUGAUUUUUACUCUAACCUUUUCGAAAUAAUUAUAGUUUUGCCACUGAUAGAGUUUUGCUCGUAACUUUUUCGUUACAACUCCGAUUCAAGCCUACCGCGUGUCUACGAAUUCGUCUCAGUACCACCUACCCGAAAAUACCAUUCAUGGUCCCAAAAUCCUUCUGGAUAAGAAAAUGACCAAUUUACCCCUACCCCAAGGGUAAAUUCGUCAUUUAUUUUAAAUCAAUUAAAAUAGACAUUAAUUUUGGAGUCGGGGUGUUACAGAUUCCUUGACCUGCCCCAUUACGUAUGAAAGAAAAAAUUAAUAUAAAACUACUUUAUUUGAAAGAAAGAAAAAAAAAAAGGACUAGGGCAAGAUAAUGAAUAUAUAUAAUAUAUUAUCUAUGUACAAGACAAUAUAAGAAUGUUUAUAUGUUGACUGGAAGUUAACUAAAUAUAUAAGUAGUGUAGCUUAAAAUUUGUAUAAAUUUUAUAAAUAUAUAAUAUAAUAAUAAAAAAUAUAAAAAUAAAUCGACACAAUCACUUUAAUAGCAUAUUUAUAUAUACUAUAGUGUGUGUAUAUAUAUAUAUGUAUAUUCUAAAAAGGAGGGGGAGGAGGGGUGGGGUGGUUCGGGUUGGGGAUUAAAAUAUCAUCCCUACCCUUCCCCUAACACUAUACCCAAAAAAUUUAUUGUACCCGUCCCCAUACCUGUUUUUUAUCCUUCUUACUCGACCAUUAGGGUUGAAUCUGUGUGAAGACCCUUACCCGUGGUUAAAAUUGCCAUCCAUAUUUUGAAUAGUUAUCUUCCUUGCACUAUGUAGGGGCUUUUUUGUUCCGGCAGCUACAGAUGGGCCUGAGCUGCUGUAAAAAGCAAAAUAGGUGGAACUGCCCGUGUGUUUGAGUUCAAUAAUCAGACCCCAAGAGUGCUUCGAAAGGUUCUUGGAGCCUUAGGAAACACCUUGGCUUCCUUCACCAACAAAACCAACAGUUGCUUAUAGAUAAGUAUUUAGGCUUGGCUUGAGAAGUUUGUGGCAUGGGAGCUGAGCAUUCAUGAGUUUAGCAUGAGAGAGAGAGAGCUUGGGUUUCUUAUGAGAAACAGAGGCUUGAAGUAAGGGGAAUAGGGAGUUUUUGGGUGGAUUUGUUGAGGGAAGAGAGGGAAAGAUGAAGAUGGAAGAAUGAGUGGUUUUAGCAAAUUUUCAGCAGCUUGACGAAAGUUUUGUCAGGCUCUUGAGUGUUUUGCCAGAAGAGAAAAGGGGAAGCAAUGGAAGAACAUGGCUCGAAAUUGUAGGGUUCCAGUGGUGAGAGGUGUUGCUUGCUCUCUCUAGAUGCGGUUAUGGGAGAGAGAGGAAGAACAUGGAAGAAUGGGUGGUUUAGCAAAUUUCCAGUAGCUUGACGAAAGCUUCGUCAAGCUCUUGAGUGCUUUGCCAGAAGAGAAAAUGGGAAGGAAUGGAAGAACAGGGCUCGAAAUUGAAGGGUUCCAGUGGUGAGCGGUGCUGCUUGCUCUCUCUGGAUGUGGUUGAGAUGAUGGGUAGGAGAUACCCAUUUUUAUAGGUGCUGGAAACUUUUUUUUCCCAAGAAACCCUAACUGAUUCUUCCCAAAUCAGCCAAGUCUCCCCCUAUAUUCCUCUUCUCUUCCUUUGAUUCAUCAUUAUUUUAUGAAAUCCCCCUAAUCCGAACACACAGAGACAAGAUUUUUUGGAGCUCUAGAGUCUUCCCGCAGCUGCUGCAGUGGUGAUCUCCUAUCUUUGGCUACCACCUCUCCUUCUUUCCUCCCUUAUUUCAUGGCAAGAGCUGGUAGGAGAAAGAAAUAGGUAACGGCGUUGGUAUGAAGGCUGCUUUUCUCCUAGCAACCUGCGCACGCAAAUAUCCUUUGGUUUUCUCCAAUAGUCUGUCUUGGGUUUGCCUUUGGAGACUCCCAGUAGCUUGCUCAUACAAGUAUCCUUGGUUUUCGGUUAUGGUUUUGUCUCUAGCCAUGUGCUAGAGACUUUCAGAUAUUUUCUAAGUCACUUGGGCCAUUCCCAAAGGUGAUGGGCUAGUUUACUAAGGGCCAACUUUCUAAAGUGAUGGACUAAUUUAAUAAGAUGAUGGGCCAAUUUUCUAAGGUGAUGGGCUAUCUUUCCUCUCUUUCAUACUUACCCACAUAUUUGGGCUCAAGAAAUGGGCUCGAGUUUUGGGGUUCCCAAGCAGCCCAAAACUUCCACUUUUUGGCUCAUCAAUGGGCUAUGUGAAUGCUCGUAACCAUCCAUACCACAACCCACUCAGCAAGCCCUGGUCAUUUGUGUGGCUUGGGCCCACUUAAGCUUGUAGCGUGGCUAGGUGCAAAAUAAAGGUUUUUCGCUUGGCAUUGCAUGUCGAUUGGCAUGCUCGUGCUCGAAUUUUAUUAUUUUUUAAAUGGCUAUGGUCGAGUCAAAACGACGCUUGACGGGAUAACAUUUAGCAUGGGUUCAUAGAGCCAGUACAUUUUACGGGCUUGCUACGACCUUUUUACUUGGCGUGUUGCGUAUUUGCUUGGCGUGGCACGUGGAUUGCAACUCGCGUGAGAGUGGAUGAUGAACUUUCGCGUGCCCAAAUGGGGGUUUCUUCUCAGUAAGGUGUCGCACUGGGACGGAAAUAUAUUUGGGCCUACUCUUAGAUUUUUGUGGGCCUCAACACACUCAAGAUUCUGUGUUUGAAUCUCACCCACCCAAUAUCGAUCGCUUUUAUUAAAAUUAAAAAAAAAUAGAGACUAUGUCGUGUAUAUAUCUCAAUCAUUCAUUAAAUUUGAAUCUUAAUAACAAUUGGUUGCUGUAAGAACGUCCAGCAAAAUUAACUAUGAAGAUAGUUUUUUCUCUGAGGAAGGUUUAUUGGGGUGAAUAGAGUAAUUGGACUGCCUUGGCUUUAUGGGGCUCCUACCAUUGUUGACAAUAGGGCUACUAAUUAUAUUGGCCGUGUUUGUUGGUGGUCCUUUGAUUUCUACCUGGCAGCUGUCGAUUUUUUUUUUCCUGUUGUUUCAUCCUUGGUUAUAUUAGCCGCGGGCCUCGGCAGCUUCUUUCUUUUCUUUGCAAUUCCGUCUUAAUUUUUGUCGUGCAUGAUAAAAUUGACCUUAAAUUGCUUGGCGCUUUGGAUAAAAAAAACAGUUUAUUCAAUGCACAUUCUCAACUCGUCUUUUUCCUUUGUCCAUAAGUAAGGUUGCCGGUCUAGUUCUUUCGAUUGAUGGAGCUUAUGGUAAGAAUUUAGAUGACUUCAUUUUCGUCAAGUCACAUCAGUUGCCUUUCCCAAUCUGUCUUAAUGAGAUUGGACAAAUAACUUUAAUGGACCAGUGCGCGCAACCCAUAUGAUUUUAUCUUGGUAUGACAAGAAUAUUUAUAUGAUUUUUGGCACCGACCAUGUAUAGAAGAACAAAUUUGAUAAAAGCUUCCUUACCAAAAAUGGCUGUUAGAGAUUGCUUGUAAUAGGUGUUUUGAAUUAUUUAGUGUCGUCAAAUUAAGUCACAUAAUGCACAUGUGAGGUUGCCGGCCUAGUUCUUUUCCUUUGUCCUUUAAAAUUUUUCGUCAAAUCAAGUCACAUAAUGCACAUGUGAUUUUUAAGGGUAUUUAUGUCAAUCACUAUAUAUCUAUCUAUAUAUAUAAACCAAAAGGCAGAGAAUGGUGAAACAUUCAAAAUACCAAAAAAUGCCCUUGGUUAAUGCAAACAUUAAGAAUUGAAAUUAUUAAUUAAAUGAGGAUAAUAUGGUAAAUUCACAAUUUUUCGUAUUAAAAAAAUUAAAAUUAAAAGAAAAUUCAGAUAAUGGGUCCUAUUUUUAUGGAACACAAAUAUCCAUUAUCUUUUUUAAUUCUAAAAUAAAUUAAAAUUUUUUAAAAAAAAACCUCUCGCAUGCGCGGAAGCGCGUGCAGAGAGGCUAGUAUAUAGAAAAUUUAAAAACUAACAGAAUUUAAUUUUAAAUGAAAAAAAUAAGUAGGAAAACUAACCAAAUAAUUUCACAAACUUCCCGACCUCCUUCCAACACCAAUUCGCCCUCACCAAAAUAAAGUGAACAUUUUCUCUCUGAAAUUGAGUUAUUCUUGGUCGAUGGUUGAGGCCAAUCUUCAUCUUUCUUCUUCGUUUUGUUUUUUCUCAAAAUUUUGGUGUUAGUUCACUAGGCUUGGAUCUCAUACGUCCUGCCUCUUAAAAUUUCUUCACAACACAUCACAGGAAGAUGAAUUUAGAAACUGUAGAUCAUUGCGUCUUAAAAUUUGUUCACUACUCUACACAUCCCCUUCAAUAUGAUGGUAGAUUGACCUUGCGAAGGCCAUAUCUAAAGGAAAAGCAAACAGAGCCAUGACACUGGAAUACAGAUUUUUGUUUUGUAAAUUUUUUAUAAGUUAUUCGGUGUUGAUUUUCCAAUUUAAAAAAUGUGUUUGGAAAUCUUGUUGGCUCAAUCACUUUUCUUUCUUUGUUUCUACUCUUUUAUAAAUUUUUUUUGGGAGCUAUUAGUAAUAUACUCAGAAUAGGACCUGAAAUUAUAAAAAAAACUCUAUAUAAAAUACACUUUAGAAACACACCUAAAAAUCAUUUACUAUAUAAAAAAUGAGUGUUGGAGUUCCUAUAAAUUACAUCUCUGUCAUUGAUUAACUUAAAACAAGCCCAAUACAAAAAACUAAAAAAAACCCAAAAUAAGCCCAGCAAGUCCAACUCAUAUUUGACCACCAAAAAAAAAAAAAGAAAAGCCCAAGAAACCCGAAGUACAUUAUUAAUACCAUAUCAUAGAAGUACAUUAUUAAUACCAUGUCAUAAAGAUACAUUGUUAAUAUCAUGUCAUAGAAGUACAAUGUUAAUAUCAUUUUAUAGAAAAAUAUUGUUAAUACCAUUUCAUGCAAAAAACUCAAGCAAGACAUCCGAUAUCCUUUGCAAAAACCACCUCCAAUUAUCCAUAGUUUCACCAGAAACAAUCGCAAAGGCAAAAGGAAAUAGCUCUACAAGGAAAAAAAAGAAAAGAAAGUACACUGUUAAUACUAUGUCAUAGACCUAUCUUCCAAGUAAAAAUCACAUUAUGCAUAUCAUAAACUUCAAGUGCACAGCUAUAUAUAGAGCAAAAUAUAUAGCAUGCUUUGUUACUGAAAAUAUGUUAACACUAUGUCAUAGAAGUACAAUGUUAAUACUAUGUCAUAUAAAUCAACUCAGUUGUAGGGUAUGAACAGUAUAACAACUGUUCAUACCACUUACUGGAAGCUAACAAUAUCAUUUCAUUCCUGCCACCAUCAGAAUCAGCAUAUUUGUGAGGAGAGAAAGAGUCGCCGGACAAGACUUCAGAGUAGGAUCCAAUAGCAUAUGAAGCUUGUUUCAGAUACAUCAUCAUUUUGGCGUGGGGUUCAGGAUAAGAAGCAAGUUUCUCAUCCCCUGCAUAGGAGGGGUUCAACAAGUUUUGGUUGCUUAAAUUUUGGAAAUAUGUAGCCAUAGCUUGGUUGGUUGGUUCCUCUGUCUCCAAAGCCAAAGCCUUGAGUUAACCUGCUACAAAAUCCAAAUUACCAAUCUUGCUCAUAAACAAAUUAACAUUGUAGAUCAAUCACAGAUUCCUAACAUAGAAAAUAAGAAACUCAUAAAAAAGAAAGCCUAACCAAAAUUACCAAAAGCAAAACCAGUAAAAUGAAAAGGAAUCACAGAGUGAUCAAAAGAACAGAAGCCAAAUUUAACCCAAAUAUAAAAAUCGUCUUCUUCUUUUUUUUCGGAUCAUCAGAAGUAUGUAGUGAACAUGUUAACACAAGAAAUUAUAUCAAGCACUCAAAUUCCAUUCCAUUCCAUCACAAAGAAGAAUAGUAACAUAAUUAAUUAAAAUGAAAUCAACAGAGGAGCUUUUGAAGUGUACCUGAAAGUUGUGGUUUGGGAAUGAAUUGUGAAGUAAAAACAAAUGGAUAAAAGAGAAGAGAAACUGAGGCAAAGUCCUCCACCUCCUCGUCCUCCCUCCCGAAUUGGAGACAAACUCCAGAGUCAUCGAAAACAGCGUCGGAAAACUCGAAAUCUACAAACGUUUCCGAGCUGGCAGCGGCGUCGUGAGUGGCUGAGGUGGCUGUGAUUCAGCCCAGACAUGAUCACCGGCCCUGGCCGGUCCUUUUCUGAUCAGUCUCACGGUUGGCCGUGCUUGGACCACCAAGAUCGACGGCCAACCUGGUUUCUGCAAAGGGAGAGAGACAAAAGAGAGAGCCCCAGAAUUUUGAAAAAAAACUAAUUUAAUACUAAAAGGGUAAUAAAAGUAUUUCAUUUAACUAAUUAAACUAAAAAAUUUAACAGCUGUGAGUUUUUUUGGGUGUGUAUAUAUACAUUGAAUGGUGUAGGGUUUCUUUAUAAAAUUAUGUCUAGGAAUGGGUAUUUAACUUUUAUUUAUUUAUUUUGGGGGGCGCCGGGGGGGAGAGAGGGGGGGGGGGGGGGGGGGGGGUUUGGGCCCCCGGGGGGGCUUGUUUAAAACUAUGUGUUAAAAGGGGAGGAAAAAUCUUUGGAAAAUACGGGGGGGUUUAUUUUUUUUUUGGUAUUUAUUGGGGGUUGGCGGGGAAUGACCUUUUUUGGAGCAUGGGACUUGGUUUUNNNNNNNNNNNNNNNNNNNNNNNNNNNNNNNNNNNNNNNNNNNNNNNNNNNNNNNNNNNNNNNNNNNNNNNNNNNNNNNNNNNNNNNNNNNNNNNNNNNNCUAUCCUGGAUUGGAAUCGACGACCUUAUUUGAAGCAUGUGACUUGAUUUAACGGAAAUUUUUAAAGGAGUAGGACGUAGGUGGUAAAUAUUUCAACACUUUAAAUAGUUUAAGUGGUUACUAGAAAAAAUUAAAAAUUCAUGUGAUAAUCCCGCACGUACCUAAAAGUUUGGAUAAUAUUUAUGUAAAUUCCCCUUUAGGGUAAAUAGAGAUAGCUUGUAAAAGCUUCCACUCGUAACAAAUAAGUCCGGACCCAAAUUGUUCUCAAAUGUCUUUACCUAAGUUUGUCUCUUAGCUUAGGGGAUAUAUAUAAACGACUUAAAAGAGUUAGUAUUGAAAAGAUAUUUUUAUGCUUUCUCGAUAAGUCUCAACAAUCGUGCCAAAAAUUAAUUAAGAGUUAGGCGAGAGAUGGAUUUCUUGUGUUGCAUGCAAAUGUGUCUUAUGGUAGCCUGGAUUUCUUGUGGGGGAGCUGGGAGGAGAAGGGGAUGGAGAGAAAGAGAGGGAGGUUUUUUUUUUUUUUUAAUAAGGAUUUUUUAAAUGUUAUUUUAUUAUAUUAUAUAAUUAAUUAAUUAUUUUUUUAAAAGAAACAGUGGGUCCUAUAGUGGACAUGUCAUCAGUUAAACCAAACGGUCAACUAAACAGAAUGUCUAAAUUGGUCAAAUUUGAAAAUCAUCGAAUAUAAAUUAAUGAAAUUGAAACUCGAGAGUCUAUAUUGAGAAUGACCCUAAAUUUUCAGGAAGUCUUUUGACAUUAAUCCUAAGGCCACCUCCACCGCAGCCCAUUUUGCCAGGGCAAGAGGCCCAUAUUCUGGGGUUUGGACCUCCAGCGCACGCGAAGCAGCCCGGGCAAGCCUUGGGUCCCACCAACCCGGGCAAGCCCAAAGGCAGAUUUUGCCUCGGCUUCAGCCCGAAGGCCCUGACGUCAGCGAGCAAAAAAAAUUGAAAAUAAAUAAAAAAUAAUUCAAUUUAAAAAAAAAAAAACCAAAAAAUUAUGGAUGUUUUCCCUAUAAAUACGUAACAAUUUUGUUCACUUUCCACACCAAAUCCUCAUACAAAC
rnacentral:lncRNA from 1 species